UGGACAAAUUAUUGUAUUCGACUGUAUUCACGACGUGAAACAUUGGAUUACACUGUUUUUAAACGGAAAGUGAAUCAAUUAACAUAAUAGACUCCU
rfam:Nicotiana attenuata strain TT chromosome 7, whole genome shotgun sequence.